GAAAGAGUAGGAGGGCUGUGGAUAUCUGUUUGUGCAGAUCUGUACAUCACCUGUCAGAGGAAGGCACCAAAGAGGAGGUAUACUGCUGAGCCAGUCCUGAAUGAAAGGAGAACUUUUCUGACCUGAGGGAAGGCAACUGAAAAAUGACUAGCAGAGGGGAAACAGAGGCUCCAUCAGUAAGAGUGAAUGUCUGUUAACCUGUUUGGCUCUCAGCUCUGUGGAAGUCUCUGACCUCAUAGAGAGCUGCAGAAAGACAGUGAAAUUGAGAGAUUGUCAUUCCUUCUGGGUUUGAAAGCUGCACGUCGGAUACACACACACAAGGAGGCAUUGCCAGUAUUAUCCUCAUAUGUUGAAAAAUUCCAGUCCUGUACGAACACUUUUCCUCUUUCAGUAUUUUCCUAUUCAUACUUCACCUAUGUCUUUUAUGAUCUAAAUAACCCUUGGAAGUGUUUGUUAUUAAAAUGAUAUGGGUAUAUAGGCUGUGGUGUAACUUAGGGGUCGCAAACUUUUUCUGUAAAAGGU